CUAGUUGUGGUCUAGGGUGGUCUAGUUGUGGUCUAGGGUGGUCUAGUUGUGGUCUAGUUGUGGUCUAGGGUGGUCUAGUUGUGGUCUAGUUGUGGUCUAGGGUGGUCUAGUGGUGGUCUAGUGGUGGUCUAGUGGUGGUCUAGUGGUGGUCUAGGGUGGUCUAGUGGUGGUCUAGUGGUGGUCUAGUGGUGGUCUAGGGUGGUCUAGUGGUGGUCUAGGGUGGUCUAGUGGUGGUCUAGGGUGGUCUAGUGGUGGUCUAGGGGUGGUCUAUGGUGGUCUAUGGUGGUCUAGGGUGGUCUAUGGUGGUCUAGGGGUGGUCUAUGGUUGUCUAGUUGUGGUCCUAGUUGUGGUCCUAGUUGUGGUCUAGUGGUGGUCUAGUUGUGGUCUAGGGUGGUCUGGGGUGGUCUAGUUGUGGUCUGGGGUGG
rnacentral:lncRNA from 1 species